GGCCCAAAUGGUGGGCGUUUAGACUAGAACCUGGGGAUGCUUGUCUACUCGAAGUCCAACUCCGAAUAUGGCUUGGAUUUGUUCCAGAGAGGGUGAAAGCCCCGUAUGGGUAGACCUACUUGUUUUAAGCAUUCCUUACAUGUUCUGGUCUUAGAGUCGGAUUGCUUGAGAAUGCAGUCCAAAGUGGGUGGUAAACUCCAUCCAAGGCUAAAUACCUGCACGAGUCCGAUAGUAGACAAGUACCGCGAGGGAAAGUUGAAAAGUACUCUGAAGAGAGAGUAAAUAGUACGUGAAGCCGCCUGUAUGGAAGCUGGUGGAGUCAAGCUUCUUAUUGUGGUAAUUGGCAUGGAGAUGUUUGUUCGUGGAUAAAGGGCUCAUUGGCUUGGAAAUAACCUGAUGGUUCGCCAUUGCAUUUAUUCCUGGCAGUAUACUUGUUGUGGGCCCCGAUCUCCAGUCUCUUAUGCUAUUUGCCAUGAUAGUUAUCACAGUCAAUGUACAUCGUUAUGUGUGGUAGUUAAACUGUGUUAUAGUGGGUGUCAUGCUCACUAGGCAUGGGAUAGCAGGUGGAUGUAUCUGGAUUUAUCCAUUUACUUCGUAUUAUAACUUUUGCUUGCUGACUAUCAUGCGUCAAUAAUCGUGUAUAUUGGUCUUAUUAUGGCAAUGUCCGAAAUGGUAAUUGUUAUAAAGAACUGUGGUAUUGAGGUAGACGUUCCAUCCGACCCGUCUUGAAACACGGACCAAGGAGUUUAACACUUCCGCGAGUCAAUGGGCUUAUUACGAAACCCAAUGGCGUAAUGAAAGUAAAAGAUCGCUUGUACUGAUCCAAGUGUGAUGCUUGCGUGCCUUGAAUAGGCUGUGAGCCGCAACACCGGCCCGUCUCGUAAUGUAGUCGAGUUACUACGUAGUCUCGCAUCAUUGAGCGGAGCAGAGCGGAGUGGUUGAGACCGAAGAGUGGUACAAUAUAUACACAAAGGGGG
rnacentral:rRNA from 1 species